rnacentral:lncRNA from 1 species
AUAAAUUAGUAUGGAAUAUGUUGUUAUGUUUAUUUAUGGUAUUUAUUUUUAAAUAUCAUAUCUAAUGAUAAUAUUUGGAAUAUCUCCUUGAGAUUUUCAUUACUUCUAAACUAUCGAGCUCACUAUCUCUUUUUUAUUUUCAAAUUCUAACAUUUAGUCGCGGAUGUGGGUGUUAAUUAGGAGUGAGACUAGAGAUGGACUUGGCGUACCC